CAGUAGCCGCGGUAAUACGUAGGUGGCAAGCGUUGUCCGGAAUUAUUGGGCGUAAAGGGCUCGCAGGCGGUUUCUUAAGUCUGAUGUGAAAACCCCCGGCUCAACCGGGGAGGGUCAUUGGAAACUGGGAAACUUGAGUGCAGAAGAGGAGAGUGGAAUUCCACGUGUAGCGGUGAAAUGCGUAGAGAUGUGGAGGAACACCAGUGGCGAAGGCGACUCUCUGGUCUGUAACUGACGCUGAGGAGCGAAAGCGUGGGGAGCGAACAGGAUUAGAGACCCCCGUAGUCCCUGUCUCUUAUAC
rnacentral:rRNA from 1 species